UUUGAAGGUCGAUAUCUCGGCUUCUAUUGGAGCUAUCGGGAAAAUACUAACGGUUUUGUCUUAGUUUCGUCAUUUUGAAUCCAACGAGACCAUCCGCAAUGUCGUAGCUCUUCUAAUAGCUGAGAUAUGGCAUUUUUGAUGCCCAUUUUUGGCCUCAAAAACGGACGUCGAAAACGACUUUUUCACGAUUUUCAAAGUGCUCUCAUUCCCUUAGUUCUGCUCGGAUCCUGUUAUAACCCGGUGUUUUCGUAAUCUAGGUGACCCAAAUAAGACGCUGGUAUACUUACUUUGAUUUCGAAAAAAAUCAAUUUUUGGUGAAAAAAUUCGAUACGGGGGGGUAUACCCGAAAAAUGAAAAAUUCCAAACUUUGAAGGUCGAUAUCUCGGCUUCUAUUGGAGCUAUCGGGAAAAUUCCAACGGUUUUGUCUUAGUUUCGUCAUUUUGAAUCCAACGAGACCAUCCGCAAGGUCGUAGCUCUUCUAAUAGCUGAGAUAUGGCAUUUUUGAUGCCCAUUUUCGGCCUCAAAAACGGACGUCGAAAACGACUUUUUCACGAUUUUCAAAGUGCUCUCAUUCCCUUAGUUCUGCUCGGAUCCUGUUAUAACCCGGUGUUUUCGUAAUCUAGGUGACCCAAAUAAGACGCUGGUAUUCUUAUUUUGAUUUCGAAAAAAAUCAAUUUUUGGUGAAAAAAUUCGAUACGGGGGGGUAUACCCGAAAAAUGAAAAAUUCCAAACUUUGAAGGUCGAUAUCGCGGCUUCUAUUGGAGCUAUCGGGAAAAUUCCAACGGUUUUGUCUUAGUUUCGUCAUUUUGAAUCCAACGAGACCAUCCGCAAUGUCGUAGCUCUUCUAAUAGCUGAGAUAUGGCAUUUUUGAUGCCCAUUUUUGGCCUCAAAAACGGACGUCGAAAACGACUUUUUCACGAUUUUCAAAGUGCUCUCAUUCCCUUAGUUCUGCUCGGAUCCUGUUAUAACCCGGUGUUUUCGUAAUCUAGGUGACCCAAAUAAGACGCUGGUAUACUUACUUUGAUUUCGAAAAAAAUCAAUUUUUGGUGAAAAAAUUCGAUACGGGGGGGUAUACCCGAAAAAUGAAAAAUUCCAAACUUUGAAGGUCGAUAUCUCGGCUUCUAUUGGAGCUAUCGGGAAAAUUCCAACGGUUUUGUCUUAGUUUCGUCAUUUUGAAUCCAACGAGACCAUCCGCAAGGUCGUAGCUCUUUUAAUAGCUGAGAUAUGGCAUUUUUGAUGCCCAUUUUUGGCCUCAAAAACGGACGUCGAAAACGACUUUUUCACGAUUUUCAAAGUGCUCUCAUUCCCUUAGUUCUGCUCGGAUCCUGUUAUAACCCGGUGUUUUCGUAAUCUAGGUGACCCAAAUAAGACGCUGGUAUACUUACUUUGAUUUCGAAAAAAAUCAAUUUUUGGUGAAAAAAUUCGAUACAGGGGGGUAUACCCGAAAAAUGAAAAAUUCCAAACUUUGAAGGUCGAUAUCUCGGCUUCUAUUGGAGCUAUCGGGAAAAUACUAACGGUUUUGUCUUAGUUUCGUCAUUUUGAAUCCAACGAGACCAUCCGCAAGGUCGUAGCUCUUCUAAUAGCUGAGAUAUGGCAUUUUUGAUGCCCAUUUUUGGCCUCAAAAACGGACGUCGAAAACGACUUUUUCACGAUUUUCAAAGUGCUCUCAUUCCCUUAGUUCUGCUCGGAUCCUGUUAUAACCCGGUGUUUUCGUAAUCUAGAUGACCCAAAUAAGACGCUGGUAUACUUAGUUUGAUUUCGAAAAAAAUCAAUUUUUGGUGAAAAAAUUCGAUACGGGGGGGUAUACCCGAAAAAUGAAAAAUUCCAAACUUUGAAGGUCGAUAUCUCAGCUUCUAUUGGAGCUAUCGGGAAAAUUCCAACGGUUUUGUCUUAGUUUCGUCAUUUUGAAUCCAACGAGACCAUCCGCAAGGUCGUAGCUCUUCUAAUAGCUGAGAUAUGGCAUUUUUGAUGCCCAUUUUCGGCCUCAAAAACGGACGUCGAAAACGACUUUUUCACGAUUUUCAAAGUGCUCUCAUUCCCUUAGUUCUGCUCGGAUCCUGUUAUAACCCGGUGUUUUCGUAAUCUAGGUGACCCAAAUAAGAUGCUGGUAUACUUAGUUUGAUUUCGAAAGAAAUCAAUUUUUUGUGAAAAAAUUAUCGAAUUUUAAGAAUACUGCUCCAAAAGACCUUGAAUUUAAGGAAUCACAAAAAGGGUGAAAUUACAAAAACUUAAAAUUUUGGAGUUAAGGUGCAUCGGAACCAAGGGAUGACUUACCCUAUAACCCAAAUAUGGUGGUGGUAGAUUCCCUACCUGUAUAAGAUCUCUACCAAAUUACGCUUUUCUAACUUUUAGUUUUAGAUUUUAUUAUAUUUAAAGUUUUCAAAUUGACACCCUGUAUUUUUUUAUCUAUUUCAAGUUGUUAAU
rnacentral:lncRNA from 1 species